rnacentral:rRNA from 1 species
GUGGGGAAUCUUGCACAAUGGGGGCAACCCUGAUGCAGCGACGCCGCGUGAGCGAUGAAGCCCUUCGGGGCGUAAAGCUCUUUCGACCGGAACGAUAAUGACGGUACCGGGAGAAGAAGCUGCGGCUAACUACGAGCCAGCAGCCGCGGUAAUACGUAGGCAGCAAGCGUUGUUCGGAAUUACUGAGCGUAAAGCGUGCGUAGGCGGUUUUCUAAGUUCGGUGUGAACUCUCCCGGCUUAACUGGGAGGGUGCGCCGAAGACUGGGAAGCUGGAGUGUGGGAAAGGCAGGCGGAAUUCCUGGUGUAGCGGUGAAAUGCGUAGAUAUCAGGAGGAACACCGGCGGUGUAGACGGCUUGCUAGACCAUAACUGACGCUGAGGCACGAAAGCGUGGGUAGCAAACA